rnacentral:rRNA from 1 species
UACGGAGGGUGCAAGCGUUAUCCGGAUUCACUGGGUUUAAAGGGAGCGUAGGUGGCCUUAUAAGUCAGUGGUGAAAUCUCUCGGCUUAACUGAGAAAUUGCCAUUGAUACUGUAGGGCUUGAGUACAGUUGCUGUGGGCGGAAUAUGACAUGUAGUGGUGAAAUACAUAGAGAUGUCAUAGAACACCGAUUGCGAAGGCAGCUCACAAAACUGUAACUGACACUGAGGCUCGAAAGUGCGGGGAUCAAACAGG